rnacentral:rRNA from 1 species
UUAAGCGACUAAGCGUACACGGUGGAUGCCCUGGCAGUCAGAGGCGAUGAAGGACGUGCUAAUCUGCGAUAAGCGUCGGUGAGGUGAUAUGAACCGUUAUAACCGGCGAUUUCCGAAUGGGGAAACCCAGUGUGUUUCGACACACUAUCAUUAACUGAAUCCAUAGGUUAAUGAGGCGAACCGGGGGAACUGAAACAUCUAAGUACCCCGAGGAAAAGAAAUCAACCGAGAUUCCCCCAGUAGCGGCGAGCGAACGGGGAGGAGCCCAGAGCCUGAAUCAGUGUGUGUGUUAGUGGAAGCGUCUGGAAAGGCGCGCGAUACAGGGUGACAGCCCCGUACACAAAAAUGCACAUACUGUGAGCUCGAUGAGUAGGGCGGGACACGUGGUAUCCUGUCUGAAUAUGGGGGGACCAUCCUCCAAGGCUAAAUACUCCUGACUGACCGAUAGUGAACCAGUACCGUGAGGGAAAGGCGAAAAGAACCCCGGCGAGGGGAGUGAAAAAGAACCUGAAACCGUGUACGUACAAGCAGUGGGAGCCUCUUAAUGGGGUGACUGCGUACCUUUUGUAUAAUGGGUCAGCGACUUAUAUUCUGUAGCAAGGUUAACCGAAUAGGGGAGCCGAAGGGAAACCGAGUCUUAACUGGGCGUUAAGUUGCAGGGUAUAGACCCGAAACCCGGUGAUCUAGCCAUGGGCAGGUUGAAGGUUGGGUAACACUAACUGGAGGACCGAACCGACUAAUGUUGAAAAAUUAGCGGAUGACUUGUGGCUGGGGGUGAAAGGCCAAUCAAACCGGGAGAUAGCUGGUUCUCCCCGAAAGCUAUUUAGGUAGCGCCUCGUGAAUUCAUCUCCGGGGGUAGAGCACUGUUUCGGCAAGGGGGUCAUCCCGACUUACCAACCCGAUGCAAACUGCGAAUACCGGAGAAUGUUAUCACGGGAGACACACGGCGGGUGCUAACGUCCGUCGUGAAGAGGGAAACAACCCAGACCGCCAGCUAAGGUCCCAAAGUCAUGGUUAAGUGGGAAACGAUGUGGGAAGGCCCAGACAGCCAGGAUGUUGGCUUAGAAGCAGCCAUCAUUUAAAGAAAGCGUAAUAGCUCACUGGUCGAGUCGGCCUGCGCGGAAGAUGUAACGGGGCUAAACCAUGCACCGAAGCUGCGGCAGCGACACUAUGUGUUGUUGGGUAGGGGAGCGUUCUGUAAGCCUGUGAAGGUGGCCUGUGAGGGUUGCUGGAGGUAUCAGAAGUGCGAAUGCUGACAUAAGUAACGAUAAAGCGGGUGAAAAGCCCGCUCGCCGGAAGACCAAGGGUUCCUGUCCAACGUUAAUCGGGGCAGGGUGAGUCGACCCCUAAGGCGAGGCCGAAAGGCGUAGUCGAUGGGAAACAGGUUAAUAUUCCUGUACUUGGUGUUACUGCGAAGGGGGGACGGAGAAGGCUAUGUUGGCCGGGCGACGGUUGUCCCGGUUUAAGCGUGUAGGCUGGUUUUCCAGGCAAAUCCGGAAAACCAAGGCUGAGGCGUGAUGACGAGGCACUACGGUGCUGAAGCGACAAAUGCCCUGCUUCCAGGAAAAGCCUCUAAGCAUCAGGUAACAUCAAAUCGUACCCCAAACCGACACAGGUGGUCAGGUAGAGAAUACCAAGGCGCUUGAGAGAACUCGGGUGAAGGAACUAGGCAAAAUGGUGCCGUAACUUCGGGAGAAGGCACGCUGAUAUGUAGGUGAAGCGACUUGCUCGUGGAGCUGAAAUCAGUCGAAGAUACCAGCUGGCUGCAACUGUUUAUUAAAAACACAGCACUGUGCAAACACGAAAGUGGACGUAUACGGUGUGACGCCUGCCCGGUGCCGGAAGGUUAAUUGAUGGGGUUAGCGGCAACGCGAAGCUCUUGAUCGAAGCCCCGGUAAACGGCGGCCGUAACUAUAACGGUCCUAAGGUAGCGAAAUUCCUUGUCGGGUAAGUUCCGACCUGCACGAAUGGCGUAAUGAUGGCCAGGCUGUCUCCACCCGAGACUCAGUGAAAUUGAACUCGCUGUGAAGAUGCAGUGUACCCGCGGCAAGACGGAAAGACCCCGUGAACCUUUACUAUAGCUUGACACUGAACAUUGAGCCUUGAUGUGUAGGAUAGGUGGGAGGCUUUGAAGUGUGGACGCCAGUCUGCAUGGAGCCGACCUUGAAAUACCACCCUUUAAUGUUUGAUGUUCUAACGUUGGCCCGUAAUCCGGGUUGCGGACAGUGUCUGGUGGGUAGUUUGACUGGGGCGGUCUCCUCCUAAAGAGUAACGGAGGAGCACGAAGGUUGGCUAAUCCUGGUCGGACAUCAGGAGGUUAGUGCAAUGGCAUAAGCCAGCUUGACUGCGAGCGUGACGGCGCGAGCAGGUGCGAAAGCAGGUCAUAGUGAUCCGGUGGUUCUGAAUGGAAGGGCCAUCGCUCAACGGAUAAAAGGUACUCCGGGGAUAACAGGCUGAUACCGCCCAAGAGUUCAUAUCGACGGCGGUGUUUGGCACCUCGAUGUCGGCUCAUCACAUCCUGGGGCUGAAGUAGGUCCCAAGGGUAUGGCUGUUCGCCAUUUAAAGUGGUACGCGAGCUGGGUUUAGAACGUCGUGAGACAGUUCGGUCCCUAUCUGCCGUGGGCGCUGGAGAACUGAGGGGGCUGCUCCUAGUACGAGAGGACCGGAGUGGACGCAUCACUGGUGUUCGGGUUGUCAUGCCAAUGGCACUGCCCGGUAGCUAAAUGCGGAAGAGAUAAGUGCUGAAAGCAUCUAAGCACGAAACUUGCCCCGAGAUGAGUUCUCCCUGAGACUUAGAGUCUCCUGAAGGAACGUUGAAGACGACGACGUUGAUAGGCCGGGUGUGUAAGCGCAGCGAUGCGUUGAGCUAACCGGUACUAAUGAACCGUGAGGCUUAACCUU